AAAAAGGCAAACCCUGGAUUUCUGUAUUCAACUUUGACUGUCCGUCUUAUAUGAAAUUUUUUUAUAAUUCGUAUUUUCAUUGUUGUUAGAUGAUAAAAUAUGAUUAAUAUUUUAUGCGUGACUUGUCUUUUAAAUUUUUUUUCACAAUUUUUUUAAAUAAGACGGACGGUCAAACGUUGGGCAUGGAAACCAGGGUUUGUCUUUUU
rfam:Oryza sativa Japonica Group DNA, chromosome 7, cultivar: Nipponbare, complete sequence.